CAUAACCAACGUAUGCUCCUUGGUAUAGAUAAGAAACAGGUAGGAGGAUGGGCACAGGCAUUUGGGAAGAGUGUAGGGGGAAAGAACCAGACUUACUUGACAUAUGCAACUGUGAAGGGUGGAGCACACGAGGUGCCAUUCACGUCACCAUCUCAAGCCCUUACCAUGUUUAGAUCCUUCAUUAAUGGAUCCCCUUUGCCCACUUCUUCCUAGGACGUCACAUUGUCCUGCCUUUUUUCCCUUGUAUUCCAAUGCUACAAGUUAAUCGGUAUUAACAUUUCAUUUUCA